rnacentral:rRNA from 1 species
UACGUAGGGGGCUAGCGUUGUCCGGAAUCAUUGGGCGUAAAGCGCGCGUAGGUGGCUUCGUAAGUCCGUUGUGAAAGUCAAAGGCUCAACCUUUGAAAGCCGAUGGAUACUGUGGAGCUAGAGUACGGAAGAGGCGAGUGGAAUUCCUGGUGUAGCGGUGGAAUGCGCAGAUAUCAGGAGGAACACCAAUAGCGAAGGCAGCUCGCUGGGACGUUACUGACACUGAGAAGCGAAAGCAUGGGGAGCGAACAGG